rnacentral:rRNA from 1 species
ACUUGGAACCGGGAGAGGUAAGAGGUACGUACAGGGGUAGGAGUGAAAUCUUGUAAUCCCUGUGGGACCACCUGGUAGGCGAAGGGCGUCUUACCAGAACGGGUUCGACGGUGAGGGACGAAAGCUGGGGGCACGAACCGGAUUAGAUACCCGGGUAGUCCCAGCCGUAAACGAUGCUCGCUAGGUGUCAGGCAUGGCGCGACCGUGUCUGGUGCCGCAGGGAAGCCGUGAAGCGAGCCACCUGGGAAGUACGGCCGCAAGGCUGAAACUUAAAGGGAAUUGGCGGGGGAGCACAACAACGGGUGGAGCCCUGCGGUUUAAUUGGACUCAACGCCGGACAACUCACCGGGGGCGACAGCAAUAUGUAGGCCAAGCUGAAGACUUUGCCUGAAUCGCUGAGUAGAGGUGCAUGG